CAGCCGCCGCGGUAAUACGUAGGUGGCAGGCGUUGUCCGGAAUUAUUGGGCGUAAAGGGCUCGCAGGCGGUUUCUUAAGUCUGAUGUGAAAGCCCCCGGCUCAACCGGGGAGGGUCAUUGGAAACUGGGAAACUUGAGUGCAGAAGAGGAGAGUGGAAUUCCACGUGUAGCGGUGAAAUGCGUAGAGAUGUGGAGGAACACCAGUGGCGAAGGCGACUCUCUGGUCUGUAACUGACGCUGAGGAGCGAAAGCGUGGGGAGCGAACAGGAUUAGAUACCCCUGUAGUCCCUGUCUCUUAUAC
rnacentral:rRNA from 1 species